rnacentral:rRNA from 1 species
CCUACGGGAGGCAGCAGUGGGGAAUUUUGCGCAAUGCUCGAAAGACUGACGCAGCGACGCCGCGUGAAUGACGAAGGCCUUCGGGUCGUAAAGUUCUGUCGAGAGGGAAGAAAAUGCAUGUAAGUAACUGUGUAUGUAUUGACAAACGCUGUAUCAGCAGCCGCGGCAAUACGGAGGGGGCGAGCGUUGUUCGGAGGGACUGGGCGUAAAGGGUACGUAGGCGGUGUUGUAAGUUAUUAGUCAAAGCCUAGAGCUCAACCUUAGUAAGGCUCGUGAUACUAGAAUACUAGAGUAUAAGAGAGGAAUGCAGAAUUCCUGGUGUAGCGGUGAAAUGCGUAGAUAUCAGGAGGAACACCGUAAGCGAAGGCGGCAAUCUGGCUGGAAACUGACGCUGAGGUGCGAAAGCGUGGGUAGCAAACAGGAUUAGAUACCCCAGUAGUC